UGACCUCGGAUCAGGUAGGAAUACCCGCUGAACUUAAGCAUAUCANNNNNNNNNNNNNNNNNNNNNNNNNNNNAUUGCCCCAGUAGCGGCGAGCGAAGCGGCAACAGCUCAAAUUUGAAAUCUGGCCUCGUGCCCGAGUUGUAAUUUGGAGAGGAUGCUUUUGGCGCGGCGCCUUCUGAGUUCCCUGGAAUGGGACGCCACAGAGGGUGAGAGCCCCGUAUAGUUGGACGCCUAGCCUCUGUAAAGCUCCCUCGAAGAGUCGAGUAGUUUGGGAAUGCUGCUCAAAACGGGAGGUAAAUCCCUCCUAAAGCUAAAUACCUGCCAGAGACCGAUAGCGCACAAGUAGAGUGAUCGAAAGAUGAAAAGCACUUUGAAAAGAGGGUUAAACAGCGCGUGAAAUUGUUGAAAGGGAAGCGCUUAUGACCAGACGUGCGCCCAGCGGAUCAUCCGGCGUUCUUCGCCGGUGCACUCCGCUGGGUUCAGGCCAGCAUCGGUCUGUCCAGGGGGAGAAGGGCGGUGGGAACGUAGCUCCCUCCGGGGAGUGUUAUAGCCCGCCGCACGAUGCCUCUGGGCGGACCGAGGUUCGCGCUCUGCAAGGAUGCUGGCAUAAUGGUCAUCAGCGACCCGUCUUGAAACACGGACCAAGGAGUCGACGUCUUCAGCGAGUGUUCGGGUGCUAAAGCCCGUACGCGCAAUGAAAGUGAACGCAGGUGAGAGCUUCGGCGCAUCAUCGACCGAUCCUGAUGUAUUCGGAUGGAUUUGAGUAAGAGCUGAAGGCGUCGGACCCGAAAGAUGGUGAACUAUGCCUGUAUAGGGUGAAGCCAGAGGAAACUCUGGUGGAGGCUCGCAGCGGUUCUGACGUGCAAAUCGAUCGUCAAAUAUGGGCAUGGGGGCGAAAGACUAAUCGAACCAUCUAGUAGCUGGUUACCGCCGA
rnacentral:rRNA from 1 species